UGAACAUAUGGUUUCCAUCUGAUAUGUACUCCUCUGUCCUCUCGAUAACCCUAGCCGCAGCUGAUCUCCCCUCCCUCCACUCCGCUGGACAGGGCCGGCGACGAGCUGGACAGGGGGCGGCUGCAGGCGCUCGUGCACGUCGAAGAACCGGCGGCCGCUCCUGCAUCAAUGGCGCAGCGAGGAAUCAGAGGAGAUAUGGGAGAGAGGGAGGAGAUGGGAGGAAACUGGGGAAGGGCUCGUCGACGCGGCGGCGCUUGCCGGAGCUUGUCUGGCGGCGGGGUCACACGCGCGUGGCGCCCUCCCUGGCGGCGCAAACAGGAAGGAGGAGGCGCACUAGAGGCGUAGUGGCUGCAACCAGAUGGGCUUCGGAGGGCCGAGAUCAUGUUGCAGCGGGCCCUGGCACUGCUGGUGGGUCGGGGGAGCUGACCUCGAUCCCAAUCUCAACUACUACACCAGAGAAGUUGGGGACGGUCAUCAGCCUGCCACGGCAAGACAGACGCGACCUUGGCUCGGCCAUGUCUGCCUCUCUGAACUGAAUGUUAUGCCUCUACUACUUGAGGAGGGUAAUAGCUGUGAGAUGUACCUGACCAUGACGCCUCGGUCACGUCCUCCUCCCUGAAAGGAAUACUAUGUCUGAAAUAUCCAAAAAAGCUUAUAUUGAUAUUAUUGAAAUUGCUUCUCUACUGCUCGAGUAAGGUAAUAAACAUGAGACGA
rnacentral:rRNA from 1 species